rnacentral:rRNA from 1 species
ACCGAGCACGCCGCGUGAGUGAAGAAGGUUUUCGGAUCGUAAAACUCUGUUGUUAGAGAAGAACAAGGACGUUAGUAACUGAACGUCCCCUGACGGUAUCUAACCAGAAAGCCACGGCUAACUACGUGCCAGCAGCCGCGGUAAUACGUAGGUGGCAAGCGUUGUCCGGAUUUAUUGGGCGUAAAGCGAGCGCAGGCGGUUUCUUAAGUCUGAUGUGAAAGCCCCCGGCUCAACCGGGGAGGGUCAUUGGAAACUGGGAGACUUGAGUGCAGAAGAGGAGAGUGGAAUUCCAUGUGUAGCGGUGAAAUGCGUAGAUAUAUGGAGGAACACCAGUGGCGAAGGCGGCUCUCUGGUCUGUAACUGACGCUGAGGCUCGAAAGCGUGGGGAGCAAACAGGAUUAGAUACCCUGGUAGUCCACGCCGUAAACGAUGAGUGCUAAGUGUUGGAGGGUUUCCGCCCUUCAGUGCUGCAGCAAACGCAUUAAGCACUCCGCCUGGGGAGUACGACCGCAAGGUUGAAACUCAAAGGAAUUGACGGGGGCCCGCACAAGCGGUGGAGCAUGUGGUUUAAUUCGAAGCAACGCGAAGAACCUUACCAGGUCUUGACAUCCUUUGACCACUCUAGAGAUAGAGCUUUCCCUUCGGGGACAAAGUGACAGGUGGUGCAUGGUUGUCGUCAGCUCGUGUCGUGAGAUGUUGGGUUAAGUCCCGCAACGAGCGCAACCCUUAUUGUUAGUUGCCAUCAUUUAGUUGGGCACUCUAGCGAGACUGCCGGUGACAAACCGGAGGAAGGUGGGGAUGACGUCAAAUCAUCAUGCCCCCUUAUGACCUGGGGCUACACACGUUGCUACAAUGGGGAAGUACAACGAAGUCGCUUAGACCGCCGAGGUCAUGCAAAAUCUCUUAAAAGCUUCUCUCCAAUUCCGGAUUGGCUAGGCUGUCAACUCCGCCUGGCCUUGAAGCCCGAAAUCCGCUAAGUAAUCCGCGGAAUCAACCACG